AACGAACGCUGGCGGCAUGCCUUACACAUGCAAGUCGAACGGAUUCAAGAGGCUUGCUUCUUGAGUUAGUGGCGAACGGGUGAGUAAAACAUCGGAACGUACCCAGUUGUGGGGGAUAACGUAGCGAAAGUUACGCUAAUACCGCAUACGCACUGAGGUGGAAAGCGGGGGACCGAAAGGCCUCGCGCAAUUGGAGCGGCCGAUGUCGGAUUAGCUAGUGGGGGUGGUAAAGGCGCACCAAGGCGACGAACCGUAGCUGGUCUGAGAGGACGAGCAGCCACACUGGAGCUGAGACACGGUCCAGACUCCUACGGGAGGCAGCAGUGGGGAAUUUUGGACAAUGGGCGAAAGCCUGAUCCAGCCAUGCCGCGUGAGUGAAGAAGGCCUUCGGGUUGUAAAGCUCUUUCAGACGGAAAGAAAUCUUUCGGGUGAAUAUCCCGGAAGGAUGACGGUACCGUAAGAAGAAGCACCGGCUAACUACGUGCCAGCCGCCGCAGUAA
rnacentral:rRNA from 1 species